rnacentral:rRNA from 1 species
AUACAGAGGGUGCAAGCGUUAAUCGGAAUUACUGGGCGUAAAGCGCGCGUAGGCGGUUUAAUCAGUCGGAUGUGAAAGCCCCGGGCUCAACCUGGGAACUGCAUUCGAUACUGUUAAGCUAGAGUAUGCUAGAGGGAAGUGGAAUUCCAGAUGUAGCGGUGAAAUGCGUAGAUAUCUGGAGGAACAUCAGUGGCGAAGGCGACUUCCUGGACCAAUACUGACGCUGAGGUGCGAAAGCGUGGGGAGCAAACAGCAUUAGAAACCCUAGUAGUCC